AUAUUCACCAAAUGUCGGCCCAAUACUACAUCCCAACCGGGUCCAAGCACAAGUACAUACUGCAACCAAGUGCGAGUAUAGACAGGGAUCAAAACCAUAACGAAGACUUGUUUUCUAGAAGCGAGUUCAAAACAGAUAUUAUCUCGAUGCCCUGUUGAACCGCCUUGAUUUUAUUGCUUUUUUCCGCCUUUUUCCGCUGUUCCAAACCCGUUUUCAAACAGUACAAAAGCGACGCAACUCCAUCAACAAACUGGCAAAGGGAAGGAAAGGGCGAGGUGGUGUCGGGGAGUUCCAAUCACGGGAAAACCCACGUGACACCAACGUGACACCAACGUGACACCAACAUAUCACCAACGUGAUGACUUAACUCGUCACGUGACCAACACCGACCCACUCCCAUAUUGCAACCCUUACAACCUCUCCAAACGGCAUCCUAACAAGACUGGGACAAAACCUGGAGCACAAACCCGGAGCUGGAACAGCCACGUGAUUCGAAAAAGUCACGGGACUCGAAAAAGACGACCCCCUCAAACCCUUGGAAAAGCUGGCGACUUUCUGAAACGCUCUGGCAACAAUCUCUGCUGCAUUCUCCCACCAACUACACACUUUCACGACAACGCCUACCACUUCCGAUAGCAUUGCAACGCGUAAAUGGAAAGCGGAGUUGACGGAAUUGACCACAAUAUCUGUCUCCAUCAACUUCUCAACUUCUCAACCCCUCCACCUGUGUCCAUUGAGCCACAAUUUACUCCGAAAACUCCUCUAUAUGUACCAUGUACCUACCGUAAUGCCCACCCAACUUUUCCACUACUUGACGUGGAGCGCCAAAAAGGGUACCAAAAUGCUCGCAGAGACGAGCCGGUUCCGAAACCGAAGUCCCCGUGUCGAUUGCGUGGAAACCUUCCGUUUUAGACAUACCUUUACAUCUCCACAAAUUUUUCAAAAUUAAGUCUACUCGGUAUGGGGACUUUUAAAAUGGUUUCUAAAGAUUUCUAACAGGAUUUUUGGA
rnacentral:misc_RNA from 1 species